AACGGCCAUACCAUGCUGAAUAUACCGGUUCUCGUUAGAUCACCGAAGUUAAGCAUCAUUGGGCGCGGUCAGUACUUGGGUGGGUGACCACCUGGAAACACUGCGUGCCGUU
rnacentral:rRNA from 1 species